ensembl:snRNA U2 U2 spliceosomal RNA
AUCUUUUCUCAGCGUUUUGGCUAUGAUCAAGUGCAAUAUCUAUUCUUAUCAGUUUAACAUACUAUACAAAAGUAUGAAUUUUAAAAGACAAACCCUUC